rnacentral:rRNA from 1 species
UGGGGAAUAUUGCACAAUGGGCGCAAGCCUGAUGCAGCCAUGCCGCGUGUAUGAAGAAGGCCUUCGGGUUGUAAAGUACUUUCAGCGAGGAGGAAGGCGUUGUGGUUAAUAACCGCAACGAUUGACGUUACUCGCAGAAGAAGCACCGGCUAACUCCGUGCCAGCAGCCGCGGUAAUACGGAGGGAGCAAGCGGUAAUCGGAAUUACUGGGCGUAAAGCGCACGCAGGCGGUCUGUCAAGUCGGAUGUGAAAUCCCCGGGCUCAACCUGGGAACUGCAUCCGAAACUGGCAGGCUAGAGUCUUGUAGAGGGGGGUAGAAUUCCAGGUGUAGCGGUGAAAUGCGUAGAGAUCUGGAGGAAUACCGGUGGCGAAGGCGGCCCCCUGGACAAAGACUGACGCUCAGGUGCGAAAGCGUGGGGAGCAAACA